rnacentral:lncRNA from 1 species
UGCUCGUUAUAUCCUCAGGAUGUUCUGUUUUAUUUUGACCGAAGCCGUAUAUAGAUUCCAUAUGAGAGUUUUCCCCCCUUUUAUGUUUGAUAUAAGAAUAUGCAUUUCUAACUGGUAAACCAUAAGUGAUAGAGGCCUAGAGUCUUUUAAUUUGAGGUCCUUGGUUCAAAAAAAUGAAAAUUAGGUCAAGGUCAAAGGUCAAGGUCAUGUUCAAAAUUUCGAUUUUGGCUUGUUAUCUCUCAUUUUUAGAAAUCUUAUAA